rnacentral:rRNA from 1 species
AUACGGAGGUGGCAAGCGUUGUUCGGAAUUACUGGGCGUAAAGGGCGCGUAGGCGGCCAUCUAAGUCAGACGUGAAAUCCCCCGGCUUAACCUGGGAACUGCGUCUGAUACUGGACGGCUUGAGUAUGGGAGAGGGAUGUAGAAUUCCAGGUGUAGCGGUGAAAUGCGUAGAUAUCUGGAGGAAUACCGGUGGCGAAGGCGGCAUCCUGGACCAUUACUGACGCUGAUGCGCGAAAGCUAGGGGAGCAAACGG